AAAAUUUUAUGAUAAGCCUUUCUCCAGGACAUAAAGAAAAUGGUGGCACUUUGGGUUUUGAAGACGCCGCCUCGCGUAGGACUACGAACAUGGGACGCUCAGUUGAGUUUUUCUUAACUCGUCAGGAUUCUCAUGCUGCAAAUUUAGUAACGGGGCAAAUUUUUUGGUGUCCUGGUGUGUUUGCGGAUUGAUGAAAAUUUGGCGAGGGAGAUCAUAAACCAUCGCUCGCUGCAGCACAUCAAUUGCUGAAUUCGUUUGAAGGAGCUGUCAAUUGUUGAAUUCGCUUGAAGGAGAUGGAGCUCGUUUGGCUGAAUUUGCUACUGAGCUGCCACAUUUUGAGGGCCUGCAAUUGAAGAAUACAACACUUGAGAUAACAAUUGAAGAAUACUAGAGUAAUAAUAACUACUGCAAGAUUGAUGUAUUUUCUUUUUGUUGGAGAUUUUCUGCAUCUUUUAUGGACGGUAACAUUUGAGAUAACAAUUUGAUGUGCUAACCAUCAAGAUCAACUUUGACAUGUUUGGUCUCUAAAAGUUACUAUUGACCAUCAUUGGUACAUCCUAUAAGGUAUAGUAAGUACUAUGAGUAACUUACCAGACAUUGACUGUAGAAGUUGCUAUCCAACUCUUGUGAAAUCUAACCAUGUUAUUCAUUUACGAUACCUGUACGUAUGUGGUACACAAUCUGAAAUAGUAGAAGGGGAAAAUAAAGCAUUAAUGUGGAGUAUGUUCCAAUGGAAAUCUUCAGGAACACCUUGAAGGUCUGAGUGCAAUUUUUCUUUAGUUCUCUGUGAGCUUAAAAAUGCAACUGAUGUGGCCCAUGCAACUGAAAUUAAAAACAUGGAGAAGAAUCAUAAAAGAUCUUGCUGAAAAUGCCCUCGUUCCGCACUUCGUGUGGACAGGCAGCGCCCUUUACCUUUGAAGUCUCGAAAAAUGGUCUGGGUGAUGCGGGUGCCUCAAUGCUUGAUGCCAUGUUCUGUAAGAGGCCAAGGUGAUUCUCAAGAGGAACAAGUCGCCAUGGACCGAUGAGAUCGAGAGACGGCUCCGCGGUUGCGUGGAGUGGCGGCUGAGAGGAGAGGCAACAACAACCCGUUGUCCGUGACGGCCCGAGCGUUUGCGAGAGGGGAUGGAGCGGGGGUUGCAUCGUCACGGCCAGUUGCCGGAGUGGAUGGAGUGGUGGCCGCACGGACGCGCUCCUGGAGGUGCCGGUAUGCACCCUGAUUUUGAGCCUGGGAGGUUCCUUGCUCUGCCCUAUCCUCAAGGGUGUUCAUCUACUUUGGUAUCGUGCUCUGGAGUCAGGACGAUGCACUAAUGCAGGUUUGAUUCUUUACUUUUCUUUUGUUUUAUUUGUAUGCAUAUCCCUGAAUUUUGUGAGCCGUGAUUUAAAUGUUGUCGUGUGUGCCAUUGUGUCCUAUAUAAUUAUUCUAUUGAAGCACCGCUGCAACCCAGUUUGUUUAUCAAAUUGAUGCAAGAAACAAACUAAUACAUAGAGAGUAUAAAUUUAUUGCAUUAAUCUGUAUAUCCCUGCACCUAGCGAUAGGUAGAGAUGGAUAAAUUUUGUAGCUUUUUGAUCCCGGUUUUUCCUAUUGAAAUUAUGGAUUUGGAAGCUAAUCAUGGAGUGUUUCGAUUGCCUGCUUACGGAAUCACAAUGAGCACAAGUCUGCAACCUUGAAGGAAAACCCGUUGCAACUGAUGACAUAAUAUUACGUCGCAACAAGAAUGUAUAGAGCUGCAGAGCUCUGUGGAUCCUUCUCUUCACAAAAGGAAACAAGAGGUAAUGUAAACAAUAGAUUCUCUUGUGAAAUUGCGAUUCAGCCUUGGGGCGUGGAUGGCGAGAAGCGGAGGCAUGUGCCUAGAGUAGCGGACCAUAAUGGAUUGAUGAGCUGAUGUCACGUGACGUACUCACGUGGCGGCUUGUUAGGCUCCGGCGGCUGGAGCCAUCAUCGACCAUGAUGCCACGCCAGGAGCACAAGGGCUAAGACGAGGACAUGUUGGUGCCGAUGAAAUAAGGUUUAUUGGGUCGUCCUCUUCCAGCAACAUAUUACACAAUCUAUUUAAGCCGAUUGAUUCUCUUUGGUACAAAUGUCCCUCAUUUAGUUGAUGAAACUCUACCUUAAUAAAAUUAAUUGAGUUGGGAACCAUAACAUAUAUACAUCUAUGACUGGUAUCUAUUUGGCUAUAUUAAACUGACAAUUUAUUCUUCUUACCGGAAGGAUAUGUCGUGAAGAUGAUUAAUUCUACAAACUAUACUGCUAAUUCAUCGGAAAUGACUACCAACUUGUUUAAUUCCGCAUGUGCAGGUGCUGCCGGUUGAUGGGGGCCUAACCAUGAGUCUAACUGAAAGUGAACGGGAGCGAUGUGCAGAAAAAAAUCUUAGCACAUAGGCUGAAUUUGUAUAGUACUUCGAAUUUAUUAGGCAGUACCCCCUCCAUUUGUAUAUCACUUCCGAAUACAAGUUCAGGUUAUUAGGCAGUACUAUUGAAUUUAAGGAUUGAUACUUGAAGAUUUUAAAAGGUUACUAAAUUUUGUACCAAGUCUACUGUUAUGUAUGGGAAGAACAUGCGCUAAAAUAUUGAUAAUGCAAAUGAAAGUGAUCGUUUGAUUAUUAAA